AGAGGGAAGAAUGACUGGUGUCCCAGGUCUAAAUCAGGCCCUGAUUAGAGGGGAAUCACCCACCUGGUGACCCAGGUCUAAAUCAGGCCCUGAUUAGAGGGGAAUCACCCACCUGGUGUCCCAGGUCUAAAUCAGGCCCUGAUUAGAGGGGAAUCACCCACCUGGUGUCUCAGGUCUAAAUCAGGCCCUGAUUAGAGGGGAAUCACCCACCUGGUGUCCCAGGUCUAAAUCAGGCCCUGAUUAGAGGGGAAUCACCCACCUGGUGUCUCAGGUCUAAAUCAGGCCCUGAUUAGAGGGGAGAAUGAACAUACAGCAGUGGAACCUCCAGGUCCAGAUUUGAAUGGGAGUGCAAUACAGAGAAGUACAAUCAAGAACACUUUCAACAUUCUAGAAUUGAAUGGCAGUUGGAAAGAACAGACUCUAGCACCCAGCGGUGUUCUAGAACCCAGCGGUGUUCUAGAACCCCAACGGUACUCUAGAACCCAACGGUGGUGUGGGUGAAGUUGCUAAGGUAUCUGAACUAAAUGACUACCGCCCCGUAGCACUCACUUCUGUCAUCAUGAAGUGCUUUGAGAGACUAGUCAAGGAUCAUAUCACCUCCACCUUCCUUACCUGACACCCUUGACCCACUUCCAUUUGUUUACCGCCCCAAUAGGUCCACAUACGAUGCAAUCGCAACCACACUGCCCACUGCCCGAACCCAUCUGGACAAGAGGAAUUCCUAUGUAAUAAUGCUGUUCAUUGACUAUAGCAUUCAACACCAUAGUACCCUCCCUCAUUAAGCUAGAGGCCCUGGGUCUCAACCCCGCCCUGUGCAAUUGGGUUCUGG